rnacentral:rRNA from 1 species
GACGAACGCUGGCGGCGUGCUUAACACAUGCAAGUCGUACGGUAAGGCCCUUUCGGGGGUACACGAGUGGCGAACGGGUGAGUAACACGUGAGUAACCUGCCCACAACUUUGGGAUAACGCUAGGAAACUGGUGCUAAUACUGGAUAUGUGCUCCUGCUGCAUGGUGGGGGUUGGAAAGCUCCGGCGGUUGUGGAUGGACUCGCGGCCUAUCAGCUUGUUGGUGGGGUAGUGGCCUACCAAGGCGGCGACGGGUAGCCGGCCUGAGAGGGUGACCGGCCACAUUGGGACUGAGAUACGGCCCAGACUCCUACGGGAGGCAGCAGUGGGGAAUAUUGCACAAUGGGCGCAAGCCUGAUGCAGCAACGCCGCGUGCGGGAUGACGGCCUUCGGGUUGUAAACCGCUUUCAGCAGGGACGAAGCUUUUUGUGACGGUACCUGCAGGAGAAGCACCGGCUAACUACGUG